rnacentral:hammerhead_ribozyme from 15 species
AACUGGUCGGGAACUGUUGCCGUUCUCCCGAUAAGGCCAUGGCAGGCCGAAACUAGUU